GAUGGACUCACCUGGACGCAGUUCAGCUGAUGAGAUUCCUCGUUAAGACCUCUGAGUUUCUGAAGUCAGAACCUCUCCUGACGGAUCUUCAGAAACAAGCCUUGCUGUAAGCUCUCUUUGGAAUCACCCCUGAAGGUCCUCCGCCUGUCACUCUCUCCAACACACUCCACCUGCAAAACAACAAGCCAUUAUCUGUGGAAGCAAACUUCAUCGUGGUGUCUACACCCUCCCUUCCAUGUCAAGCUUCUUCCUUGGAAACUCUAAACCCUGGGAUCAUCACUGUAAAUAAAAUCACUUACCUUUUUA